GAUGAACGCUGGCGGCGUGCUUAACACAUGCAAGUCGAACGGAAAGGCCCAAGAUUGCUUGGGUCCUCGAGUGCCGAACGGGUGAGUAUCACGUGGGUGAUCUGCCCUGCUCUUCGGGAUAAGCCUGGGGAACUGGGUUUCUUAUCGGGUAUGACGAUUGUAUGGAUGCCAUUGAGGAUAGAAUUGUCGGAGUGGGUUAAGCUCGCGAGCUAUCAGCUUGUUGUUGGGGUAAUGGGCUACCAAGGCGUAGCCGGGUAGCCGGCCAGAGAGGGUGUACGGCCACAUUGGGUCUGAGAGACGGCCCAGGCACGGACGGUUGGCAGCAGUGGGGAAUAUUGCACGAUGGGCGCAAGGCUGAUGCAGAGAGGUCGCGGGGGGGAUGACGGCGUUCGUGUUGUAGAAUCCUUUCGCUAGGGAAGAAGCGUUUUUGUGACGGUACCUGGAGAGGAAGCACCGGCUAACUACGUG
rnacentral:rRNA from 1 species